AGGGAAUAGAUACCCUGGUAGUCCUGGCAGUAAACGGUGCACGUUUGGUGUGGGCGCAAUCGACCGCGUCCGCGCCGGAGCUAAACGCGUUAAACGUGCCGCCGUGGGAAGUACGGUCGCAAGAUUAAAACUCAAAGAAUUGACGGGGACCCGCACAAGCGGUGGAGUAUGUGGCUUAAUUCGAUGCAACGCGAAGAACCUUACCUGGUCUUGACAUGCAUUGUGUCUCCGGUGGAAAGCCGGAGUAGGGCAGCAAUGCCCGCUUUGCACAGGUGCUGCAUGGCUGUCGUCAGCUCGUGUCGUGAG
rnacentral:rRNA from 1 species